rnacentral:rRNA from 1 species
GAUGAACGCUAGCUACAGGCAUAACACAUGCAAGUCGAGGGGUGGCACGGAGGAAGCUUGCUUCCUUGGGUGACGACCGGCGCACGGGUGAGUAACGCGUAUCCUACCUACCCAUUACUCGGGCACAGCCGCUCGCAAGAGUGAUUGAUUCCCGAUAUGUCAUUAGAGUAGAUCUAAUGAUGAAAGAUUUAUCGGUUAUGGAUGGGGAUGCGUAAGAGUAGGUAGUAGGCGGGGUAACGGCCCACCUAGCCGACGAUCUUUAGGGGUUCUGAGAGGAAGGUCCCCCACACUGGUACUGAGACACGGACCAGACUCCUACGGGAGGCAGCAGUGAGGAAUAUUGGUCAAUGGGCGGAAGCCUGAACCAGCCAAGUAGCGUGAAGGAUUACAGCCCUACGGGUUUUAAACUUCUUUUAUAUAAGAGUAAUGUGCACUACGUGUAGUGUAUUGCAAGUAUUAUAUGAAUAAGCAUCGGCUAACUCCGUGCCAGCAGCCGCGGUAAAAC